ACCUAGGAACUGCAUCCAAAACUAGAUGACUAGAGUACGAAAGAGGGAAGUAGAAUUCACAGUGUAGCGGUGGAAUGCGUAGAUAUUGUGAAGAAUACCAAUGGCGAAGGCAGCUUCCUGGUUCUGUACUGACACUGAGGUGCGAAAGCGUGGGUAGCGAACAGGAUUAGAUACCCUGGUAGUCCACGCCGUAAACGAUGACAACUAGCUGUUGGGAGACAAGAUCUCUCAGUGGCGCAGCUAACGCUUUAAGUUGUCCGCCUGGGGAGUACGGCCGCAAGGUUAAAACUCAAAUGAAUUGACGGGGACCCGCACAAGCGGUGGAGCAUGUGGUUUAAUUCGAUGCAACGCGAAAAACCUUACCUACUCUUGACAUACUUGGAAGCUCUUGUAAUGAGAGUGUGCUUUUAGAGCCAAGAUACAGGUGCUGCAUGGCUGUCGUCAGCUCGUGUCGUGAGAUGUUGGGUUAAGUCCCAUAACGAGCGCAACCCUUACCCUUAUUUGCCAGCGGUUCGGCCGGGAACUAUAAGGGGACUGCCGGUGACAAACCGGAGGAAGGUGAGGACGACGUCAAGUCAUCAUGGCCCUUACGAGUAGGGCUACACACGUGCUACAAUGGGGAAUACAGACGGACGCUAAAGCGUGAGCUGGUGCUAAUCCUAAAAAAUUUCUCGUAGUCCGGAUUGCAGUCUGCAACUCGACUGCAUGAAGUCGGAAUCGCUAGUAAUCGCGAAUCAGCAUGUCGCGGUGAAUACGUUCUCGGGUCUUGUACACACCGCCCGUCACACCAUGGAAGUGUGUUGCACCAGAAGUAGGUAGUCUAACCUUCGGGAAGGCGCUUACCACGGUGUGAUCCAUGACUGGGGUGAAGUCGUAACAAGGUAGCCG
rnacentral:rRNA from 1 species